rnacentral:sRNA from 1 species
CUGAGCUCUCAGGAGAAUGAAAUCAUGUGAUUAUCCCCAGAAGAGGUACAGAACAAACAGCGGCAGUGCAAGCUUCCCCACAUGACCCCCACCAGUGUCCUCAGCCCUGACCUGAGGAACUGCUUUAAAGGGGUAAGAGGGCAGUUUACUCUCAUUGCCUUCUCUUUUUGACUUUC